GGCGAGGCAAAUCCCUAAUUUCCCCUUCUCCUUCCCCACGCACGCCGCCAUGGGCUCCCGCCGCCGGUCUCUCCACCAUGCCCGCGCACCAUCCGCCGCUCCCGCAUGACCCUGCUGGCCUCCCGCCCCCACGCGCUCAAAUCCUCUCCUCCGACUAGGUUCCCUCUUUGCUCGAUCUCUUGUCCUCACGGUGGGCACUGGUCAGAUCUCAGGGAAGACCGGGCUCAACUUGCUGCCGAGGAGUACUGCCCUGUACUAGAAUAGCAUGAUGGCCGUGGUGAAGCAGUUCUUGGAGGCGUUGCUGCUCAUGUUGGCCAACCCCUUCCUGGCCUUUCAGGGUUGGGUUCCCGGUGAGCGACGUCAUUAGCUUAGGCACCAACCUUGUCUCCUCAAGGUUCUUGUCCCUCGAUGAAUAAACCUAACACAUCGUUGCUGAAUUUGGAGUUAUACGCAUCAACAACAGAAGGGUAAGAGAGGGGCGUACAGUGGUACCAAAAAAAUAAAUUUUCCUCCAUUGAACUCUAUCGGUUGCAAAGGUGAGGCCAGAUAACAAGAGGUUAAUUGUGUUCUCGUCUCCAAUAUGUUCAGUGGUUACAUCAUGUUACAGUUCACUUUUUCUCACCUCUUGGUACUGCACUACUACUAUGCACUUAAUCUAUUUUCUAAUUUACUCACUGAAUUGUUCUGGUCAAUAUGCUAUUUAUGUGUUUCCUUCCCAAAAUCCUUUUUCUAGUGGGAAAGGUUGUUGUUGCUCUAGCCUCGUC